GACGAACGCUGGCGGCGUGCCUAAUACAUGCAAGUCGAGCGAGUCUGCCUUGAAGAUCGGAGUGCUUGCACUCUGUGAAACAAGAUACAGGCUAGCGGCGGACGGGUGAGUAACACGUGGGUAACCUGCCCAAGAGAUCGGGAUAACACCUGGAAACAGAUGCUAAUACCGGAUAACAACAGAUGAUGCCUAUCAACUGUUUAAAAGAUGGUUCUGCUAUCACUCUUGGAUGGACCUGCGGUGCAUUAGCUAGUUGGUAGGGUAACGGCCUACCAAGGCGAUGAUGCAUAGCCGAGUUGAGAGACUGAUCGGCCACAUUGGGACUGAGACACGGCCCAAACUCCUACGGGAGGCAGUAGUAGGGAAUCUUCCACAAAGGACGCAAGUCUGAUGGAGCAACGCCGCGUGAGUGAAGAAGGGUUUCGGCUCGUAAAGCUCUGUUGUUGGUGAAGAAGGACAGGGGUAGUAACUGACCUUUGUUUGACGGUAAUCAAUUAGAAAGUCACGGCUAACUACGUG
rnacentral:rRNA from 1 species